UACGGAGGGUGCAAGCGUUAUCCGGAUUCACUGGGUUUAAAGGGUGCGUAGGUGGGUCUGUAAGUCCGUGGUGAAAUCUCCAAGCUUAACUUGGAAACUGCCAUGGAUACUAUAGGUCUUGAAUACCGUGGAGGUGAGCGGAAUAUGUCAUGUAGCGGUGAAAUGCUUAGAUAUGACAUAGAACACCAAUUGCGAAGGCAGCUCACUACACGAAUAUUGACACUGAGGCACGAAAAGCGUGGGGGAUCAAACAGG
rnacentral:rRNA from 1 species